CCUUUCAAUGCAGCAGAAUUGGGAUGGUUGAGUAUCUCGCCUCUCCGUUCUGCCUGUAUUCUACCCUUGUUUGUCAUAUACUAUUAUUUCCUCGGCAGGCUUGCCUGCCGAGUGAAACCAUUAUAACCUUUUUAAUUUUCAAUCAGCGUCUGAAAAAAUUAAUAAUUA
rnacentral:misc_RNA from 1 species